ACCAGACUCCUACGGGAGGCAGCAGUGGGGAAUAUUGCACAAUGGGGGAAACCCUGAUGCAGCAACGCCGCGUGAGUGAAGAAGUAUUUCGGUAUGUAAAGCUCUAUCAGCAGGGAAGAAGAAAGACGGUACCUGACUAAGAAGCCCCGGCUAACUACGUGCCAGCAGCCGCGGUAAUACGUAGGGGGCAAGCGUUAUCCGGAUUUACUGGGUGUAAAGGGAGCGUAGACGGCAGCGCAAGUCUGAAGUGAAAUGCCGGGGCUUAACCCCGGAACUGCUUUGGAAACUGUGCAGCUAGAGUGCAGGAGAGGUAAGUGGAAUUCCUAGUGUAGCGGUGAAAUGCGUAGAUAUUAGGAGGAACACCAGUGGCGAAGGCGGCUUACUGGACUGUAACUGACGUUGAGGCUCGAAAGCGUGGGGAGCAAACAG
rnacentral:rRNA from 1 species